GUAUGAUCGGUAGUUUCAUACAAAUGAAACUACCGAACCAUCAGACCACCCCCGUGAGAAGUGUGCGCCUCGUUAAGCGUUCACACUCUGCAAACCGCAGCUUAAUUGAUACAUUGCAUGUGCCUGUGUGGUCGCCGUUCGGCAUACGAACCACGUGCGGCGGCCAUCUUACGCAUGAAAAUCUCAGCGGUAUUUGGCUGUCGAGUGUCUGGAACUCAAAUCGGACACAAACAACCGAACACCGCUGAGACCUCCAG